rnacentral:misc_RNA from 1 species
GAUGAAGAACGUAGCGAAAUGCGAUAACUAAUGUGAAUUGCAGAAUUCCGUGAAUCAUCGAGUCUUUGAACGCACAUUGCGCCCCCUGGUAUUCCGGGGGGCAUGCCUGUCCGAGCGUCAUUGCUGCCCAUCAAGCACGGCUUGUGUGUUGGGUCCUCGUCCCCCCCGGGGGACGUGCCCGAAAGGCAGCGGCGGCACCGCGUCCGGUCCUCGAACGUAUGGGGCUUUGUCACCCGCUCUGCAGGCCCGGCCGGCGCUGGCCGACGCGAAAGCAACCAUUUUUUCUCCAGGUUGACCUCGGAUCAGGUAGGGAUACCCGCUGAACUUAAGCAUAUCAAUAAGCGGAGGA